UGAAGGGGGGCCUUUGACACUCUUCACCCCGCCCCUCCCUUGCUUAGUCGCUCGGCUGGCCCGGCUCACCUUCGGGGUGAAGGCUACCAGCGAGCGUUAUAGCAGACGACUUUAAUAAAUGCAGGCGGCAGCAGGAACUCUGGGAACUUGGGUGCCCUUGCCUGGCAGUAAGGGUUGAAUUAUCCGGAUCUGAAAUACUUUACAGAGCCGAGGGGUGAUAGGCUCUGCAAAAGCACUUUUUGCCCCUCUCCUUUAUGCCAAUACUCGCUGACUGUGCACACAAGUCAUAUUCAGUAUUAAAUACAAACCGGUCUGUAAUUCAAUGGCUCUAGCAAGACGCCUCUGAGAGGGCCAGGUGGCGGGUGCAAGUUGCUCAUUAACCCUUUAGAGUCGCAGUUUGCAGAUCUGAGUUAGAUCCCCGGCUUUGAGGUCCUUCAGUUGCCCUCCUCCCCCACCUCCCCCCGCCACUGCGAGAAAAAUGUGCAAAGAGAAGGAAAUUUGCACAUCAAACGAGGGGCAAUCGCGGCGGUAGAUGAACUUGAUUAGGCAGACGCGUGAGAUCAAAGUGGCCGGGACCAAAGCGGACAGGGUCCAACGUGCCAGCACUGCCAAGAGAAGGCCUUUUGUACUCAGGUUAAAUAAGAACAUCCUGCAAGGAGUCUGUUCUUUUAUGCAGCCUAAAGAUCAAGUAAUAAUCAUUGACACUGAUACUGAGCAUGUCGAUUUUGAAGAGACUAGCAUGAACCUUGAAGAAUCAUGUUCUUCCUAGGAAUUACAAAUCCCCCGAUUCCAUGUCUAACAUAAUUUCUACUGGCCUCUUUGCUUCUCAUGCUUUAGUACCAGUGCUUCUGAAUUUGAAAGUCUUCAUGCAAAUUGCCCAGGUUUGCUGGCAGCUGUGUCUCAGAAAAAGCUGUCUUCAGCAAGGCAGAAGCAGACCAGGGUGGUCCAGAGUUGGUGACUAUUAUGGCAUGGCUACCCAGGGCCAGAGAGGUGAGGUUUAAUGAGAAAGAAGAUAGAUGAAAAUGACUCCUCCUCCUGCUUUCACUGCUGCAGCAACUCAGGCCUGCAGACAAGAUCCAGCUCUAUUGCCCAAGCUGGAGUGCAGUGGUGAGAUAAUGAUUCACUGCAGCCUUGAUCUCCUGGGCUCAAGCAGUUCUCCUGCCUCAGCCUCCUGAGUAGCUGGGACCACAGGCACCCUCCACCAUGUCUGGCCAAAAUUUUUUGAAUUUUUUGUAGAGACCAGGUUUCACCAUGUUGCCCAGGCUGAUUUCAAAUUCCUGGGCUCAAGUGAUCUUCCUGCCUCAGCCUCUCAAAGUGCUGAGAUUACAAGUGUGAGCCACCACACCCAGCCAAAAUAUAAAUACGCCUUUAAUAGUAACACCUAAUUACCUAACACCAUCAAAAAUGGGGUGCUCCAUGAAGAAGCACAUAAUUCAAAUUAUUGAAGUUUAUCCCUUCUAAUGACCACAUAGAUUUCUCUUGCCCCAUUAAAAAAUUAGAUAAUCAGUAUUUCUAGGAUAGUUGUUUUCUUCCAACCAAUUAAGGCAUAAUCUAUGUAGCAGAACAUUCAGAGGAUGAUGCCUGGUCAACAUUUGAAUAAACAAUCACUGUGAUGUUACCUCUAUUUAAGAUGACUCCAAUAAAACUUCUAUGGUUUGCAUUAUUAGUUGAUCAGACUUUAAGCAUUAUCUUUUGAUAGGGUCAAGGAACCUGUCUUAACUCCCCAUCUCUGACCAAAAUAUACUUGUUUUCUAUAAGCUAUAAAGCCAGAUAGCCAAUUUUAUGAGAAUUGUCCCUAUACUAUAUCCAUGUGAGCGAUGAGUGCCUGGCAUGAAGAUGCAUAAAGGAGGCAGUAAUAUACAACAACUGAAGCAUAACCUCUGGAGCCAGUCUUCUUCAGACAAAUCCCAAUUCCAUUACUCACUGGCCACCUAAACAAGCUACUUAAUUCAUCUGCCUCAGUUUUCUUCAACUGUUUAAUGGGUAUGAUCAACAAACCAACUUCAGUGGGUUAUCAUAAAUAUUAAUAAAUGAGAGAAUGCAUGUGAAACAAAGCUAUAAGCAAUCAUUAGUAAUAAUAAUAAAAGAUGAUCAUUAUUUUUCAUGGAGUUUUUGCUAGUGCCAUGUACUGUUUUGUUAAUACUAAUUGCCUGAUUUUCUGUCCAUGAAUUUUUGGCUGAUCUAAGUUUCCACUUCCCUCACCCCUUGGCUGGGAUCUAGGUAUGAGAGUUGCUUGGCAAGCAAACUAGAGAUAAGUAAGGUGUUACUAUAUAAAGUUAAUGUAGGCACAUAUGAAUAUCCAAACAUGCCAUAAUGUUGGGGUUUGACCCUUUCCCUAAUACUCAGUUUCUUCAUUUGAAAUGUUCUAAUUGGUGUUUUUAUGUUGG
rnacentral:lncRNA from 10 species